UGUGACGUUACCAAACUGUUGCCUCGGCGGGGUCACGCCCCGGGUGCGUCGCAGCCCCGGAACCAGGCGCCCGCCGGAGGAACCAACCAAACUCUUUCUGUAGUCCCCUCGCGGACGUAUUUCUUACAGCUCUGAGCAAAAAUUCAAAAUGAAUCAAAACUUUCAACAACGGAUCUCUUGGUUCUGGCAUCGAUGAAGAACGCAGCGAAAUGCGAUAAGUAAUGUGAAUUGCAGAAUUCAGUGAAUCAUCGAAUCUUUGAACGCACAUUGCGCCCGCCAGUAUUCUGGCGGGCAUGCCUGUCCGAGCGUCAUUUCAACCCUCGAACCCCUCCGGGGGAUCGGCGUUGGGGAUCGGGACCCCUCACACGGGUGCCGGCCCCGAAAUACAGUGGCGGUCUCGCCGCAGCCUCUCCUGCGCAGUAGUUUGCACAACUCGCACCGGGAGCGCGGCGCGUCCACGUCCGUAAAACACCCAACUUUCUGAAAUGUUGACCUCGGAUCAGGUAGGAAUACCCGCUGAACUUAAGCAUAUCAAUAAGCGGAGGAA
rnacentral:rRNA from 2 species